AUGAUCAGCCUGAUUGGCUUGUUGAUCAUAUGGGUGCAAUUGUCACGUGAGUUUGAGACUUUCCUCACUGCUUCCAGAGAAGCCAACAGAGUAAAAAAUUAUCUGAAUGUAGGGAAGGUGAAUGGACAACAGAUAAAUCAAAUUCCUGAGUUCCUGUUCAUACAUGAAGGAGAGAAAUUCUUCAUCUACUGCAAUUCCUCAAGUACUUUUAAUAGCUUACAAUGGUAUAAGCAGAAGCCUGGAGGAAGCCCUGUCUUGUUGAUAAUGCUGCUUAAGGCUGGAGAAGUCAAGGAGCAGAACAGUCUGACAGCUCAGUUUGGAAAGACAAGAAAGGACAGUUCUUUGCACAUCAAAGACGCCCACCCUGCAGAUACGGGCACGUACUUCUGCGCGAUGGAAAAAACACAGAUGGGGAAUUCCAAUUAUUCCUGGAAUGAUCAGUUGAAAAACAGUGAUACAGAUAGUUGUAUAAAGGAUUUGAGUUUAUCUUUCAAUGAUUUUAACCAAAAUUUUAAAAAUGUUUUAGCUUAA